CCCCAGCACCUAUGGGGACCUCUAUAUGGACCUGCAGGAUCCCUAUGGGGACCCCGACGCUUAUGGGGACGCCUAUGGGGAGCCCCCCUCCCGCUAUGGGGGGGCCGACGUGGAACCCUGGGAUGCUUAUGGGGACCCCUACGCGGACCCCUAUAGGGACGAGGAGCCCCACAGGGAGCCCUGGGGGUCCCACCUGCCCCAUUCGGACCCUUAUGGGGCAGAAGACCCCGAGCCUGGCAGCCUCCGCCGUGGGAGGGACCCCCAAACCCGGCCCUGGGUGUCCUAUGGGGAUUCAGCUGCAGAACCCUAUAGGGCUGAGGACCCUUAUGGGGCUGAGGACCCCUAUAGGGCUCAGGACCCCUAUGGGGGGGGGGAUUCACAGACUGAACGGGAGACUGAAGGCCUGGCCGGGCCGUGGGACCCCCACAGUGACCCUGGGGACCCCUAUGGGGUCGAGGACCCCCGGCUGGAGGCUUCAGACCCCUAUAGGUUUGGAGACCCCCAGAAUGACCCCAUAGAUACCCACAGAGCCCUAGACCCCCAUCCUGGUCCUAUAGAACCCUAUAGGGCCCAGGACCCCGAGGCUGACCCCAGGGAACCCUACAGGUUUCGGGACCCCCAUCCUGACCCCAUAGACCCCCAUAGAGCUCAGGACCCCCGUCCUGGCCCCGUAAAGCCCUAUAGGUUUGGGGACCCCCAUCCUGACCCCAUAGACCCCUAUGGAGAGCAGGAUCCCCAUCCCGACCGCAGGGAGCCCUACAGAGCUCAGGACCCCCAUCCUGACCCCACAGAUCCCUAUAGGGCCCAGGACCCCCAUCCUGGUCCUAUAGACCCUCAUAGAGCUCAGGACCCCCAUCCUGACCCCACAGAUCCCUAUAGGGCCCAGGACCCCCAAACUGACCCCAGGGACCAUUACAUAAACUGGGAACCCCAAACUGAGCGUAGGGACCCCCAAAAAUCCCAAGACCCCAGAAUGACCAGGCCCUCCCUUAUAGGGACCUUCAGGACCCCCCAGGACCCCCGCAAUCCCCUUCCCACCAUCAGGGCUCCCCCAGUUCCU
rnacentral:lncRNA from 1 species